rnacentral:misc_RNA from 1 species
GAUGGAGAACGUAGCGAAAUGCGAUAAGUAAUGUGAAUUGCAGAAUUCAGUGAAUCAUCGAAUCUUUGAACGCACAUUGCGCCCGCCAGCAUUCUGGCGGGCAUGCCUGUUCGAGCGUCAUUUCAACCCUCGAGCCCCCCCGGGGGCCUCGGUGUUGGGGGACGGCACACCAGCCGCCCCCGAAAUGCAGUGGCGACCCCGCCGCAGCCUCCCCUGCGUAGUAGCACACACCUCGCACCGGAGCGCGGAGGCGGUCACGCCGUAAAACGCCCAACUUUCUUAGAGUUGACCUCGGAUCAGGUAGGAAUACCCGCUGAACUUAAGCAUAUCAAUAAGCGGAGGA